GCAACUUUUGCAUGGCCACAAUGCAAAUGACAGAGAGUUAUGGUAUGUUAACGCACUGGGCUUUCCUUUCCUGCAGUUAUCUGUGUAGGAAGCCCAAUGUAUGUAGAAAGGAGAAGAAUUCUUAGAGUGGACAUACAAUGAAAACCAGGACUGCUGCUGCAAGAACCCAUUUUUUAUCUACACCCUGAUGAAAGCCAAAGCAGGAAGACGAACCCCAAAGGGGGCUGCUG
rnacentral:lncRNA from 1 species